rnacentral:rRNA from 3 species
UUGAUUGAUGGUGCUUGCACCUGAUUGAUUUUGGUCGCCAACGAGUGGCGGACGGGUGAGUAACACGUAGGUAACCUGCCCAGAAGCGGGGGACAACAUUUGGAAACAGAUGCUAAUACCGCAUAACAGCGUUGUUCGCAUGAACAACGCUUAAAAGAUGGCUUCUCGCUAUCACUUCUGGAUGGACCUGCGGUGCAUUAGCUUGUUGGUGGGGUAACGGCCUACCAAGGCGAUGAUGCAUAGCCGAGUUGAGAGACUGAUCGGCCACAAUGGGACUGAGACACGGCCCAUACUCCUACGGGAGGCAGCAGUAGGGAAUCUUCCACAAUGGGCGCAAGCCUGAUGGAGCAACACCGCGUGAGUGAAGAAGGGUUUCGGCUCGUAAAGCUCUGUUGUUAAAGAAGAACACGUAUGAGAGUAACUGUUCAUACGUUGACGGUAUUUAACCAGAAAGUCACGGCUAACUACGUGCCAGCAGCCGCGGUAAUACGUAGGUGGCAAGCGUUAUCCGGAUUUAUUGGGCGUAAAGAGAGUGCAGGCGGUUUUCUAAGUCUGAUGUGAAAGCCUUCGGCUUAACCGGAGAAGUGCAUCGGAAACUGGAUAACUUGAGUGCAGAAGAGGGUAGUGGAACUCCAUGUGUAGCGGUGGAAUGCGUAGAUAUAUGGAAGAACACCAGUGGCGAAGGCGGCUACCUGGUCUGCAACUGACGCUGAGACUCGAAAGCAUGGGUAGCGAACAGGAUUAGAUACCCUGGUAGUCCAUGCCGUAAACGAUGAGUGCUAGGUGUUGGAGGGUUUCCGCCCUUCAGUGCCGGAGCUAACGCAUUAAGCACUCCGCCUGGGGAGUACGACCGCAAGGUUGAAACUCAAAGGAAUUGACGGGGGCCCGCACAAGCGGUGGAGCAUGUGGUUUAAUUCGAAGCUACGCGAAGAACCUUACCAGGUCUUGACAUCUUGCGCCAACCCUAGAGAUAGGGCGUUUCCUUCGGGAACGCAAUGACAGGUGGUGCAUGGUCGUCGUCAGCUCGUGUCGUGAGAUGUUGGGUUAAGUCCCGCAACGAGCGCAACCCUUGUUACUAGUUGCCAGCAUUAAGUUGGGCACUCUAGUGAGACUGCCGGUGACAAACCGGAGGAAGGUGGGGACGACGUCAGAUCAUCAUGCCCCUUAUGACCUGGGCUACACACGUGCUACAAUGGACGGUACAACGAGUCGCGAACUCGCGAGGGCAAGCAAAUCUCUUAAAACCGUUCUCAGUUCGGACUGCAGGCUGCAACUCGCCUGCACGAAGUCGGAAUCGCUAGUAAUCGCGGAUCAGCAUGCCGCGGUGAAUACGUUCCCGGGCCUUGUACACACCGCCCGUCACACCAUGAGAGUUUGUAACACCCAAAGUCGGUGGGGUAACCUUUUAGGAGCCAG